GCUUAUGGUGGCCGUUGUAGCUGACGAGGCGCUCGAAAACGAAAAACUCGCGGACGAGAAGAGGAACGUCUUUACCGGGAGAGAGAACGUCGGAGACGGUGAUGUGUUUGGCGGAAGCAGCGACGAAUUCAACUCCGGAGUCGUUGCAGGUGAUGUAGAUGUGACCGGAGGGACUGGUGGAGAAACGGCCGGCUAAGGCAGGGAAAAGAGAGAGGGUGGAGGAGAGUGAACGGCGGAGAGAGGAGACAAGGUCGUCGAAGGAGAAGGAAGGAGGAGGGCGACUGAGGAGCACGCCCUUCUGAAUGUAAUGGCAUGAGAGCAUAGGGAGAUCGGAGACGGAGAGACGGAGAUCGGCCACGGUGGACCUCUUCUCCGGAUACACAAUGCAUUUCGAGAUUUCUGUUACUGAACAAGAAGGCAUUUUGUAAAGAAACAAACAAAAUAUGUAAAAGAAGAUAUUGAUUUGGGAGCUGUGGUGAUUGCCGUAUUGGUGAGGAGAAGAGUCAUGGGAGCAAGGGGGUUUAUAUAGUGGUCUUGUCGGAGCAAAGUUGCGUCAGCGAAGGUGUUGAAGAAUUGCCAGAAGGAAGUUCCAUCUGUAACGGAAUGAUUAACGGUGCAUCCGAUGAAGACGCCGUCGUCUAGCUCCGUCACUUGGACGGCGGAGAGAGGCUUAUGGUGGCCGUUGUAGCUGACGAGGCGCUCGAAAACGAAAAACUCGCGGACGAGAAGAGGAACGUCUUUACCGGGAGAGAGAACGUCGGAGACGGUGAUGUGUUUGGCGGAAGCAGCGACGAAUUCAACUCCGGAGUCGUUGCAGGUGAUGUAGAUGUGACCGGAGGGACUGGUGGAGAAACGGCCGGCUAAGGCAGGGAAAAGAGAGAGGGUGGAGGAGAGUGAACGGCGGAGAGAGGAGACAAGGUCGUCGAAGGAGAAGGAAGGAGGAGGGCGACUGAGGAGCACGCCUUUCUGAAUGUAAUGGCAUGAGAGCAUAGGGAGAUCGGAGACGGAGAGACGGAGAUCGGCCACGGUGGACCUCUUCUCCGGAUACACAAUGCAUUUCGAGAUUUC
rnacentral:lncRNA from 1 species